GCCAAGGUGGCUUAGGACUUAGGGUGAUAAACUCUAAAUUACCCUAAGUCUUUAACAAAGUUACAUUCAAAAAACAAAACAAAAAAAGACAACUUAAACUCAAGAAUGGAACCAUUUGUCUCUUAUCUACCUAGGACCUGGAAGCCCCACCCCACCGUCAAGUCUUCCCACCUUUGCUUCAAGUUGUCUUGCCUUUCUAGACCUGUCCCGCCUUUCCAGACUGAACCAAUGUUCAGUCUAGAAUGUAUGUAUUGAUGUCUCAUGUCUCCCUAGGAUGUGUAAAACCCAGUUGUGUUCUGACCACCUCGGGCACAGGUCAUCAGGAACUCCUGAGACUCAUGGACAGGUGUGCUCAACUUUGGCAAAAUAAGCUUUCUAGAUUAACUGAAA
rnacentral:lncRNA from 1 species